CCCCAGACUCCUACGGGAGGCAGCAGUGAGGAAUAUUGGUCAAUGGCCGAGAGGCUGAACCAGCCAAGUCGCGUGAGGGAAGACGGCCCUACGGGUUGUAAACCUCUUUUGUCGGGGAGCAAAGAGGCCUCGUGAGGUCAAAAGCGAGAGUACCCGAAGAAAAAGCAUCGGCUAACUCCGUGCCAGCAGCCGCGGUAAUACGGAGGAUGCGAGCGUUAUCCGGAUUUAUUGGGUUUAAAGGGUGCGUAGGCGGGCAUUUAAGCCGGCGGUCAAAUGUCGGGGCUCAACCCCGGCCUGCCGUCGGAACUGGGUGCCUUGAGUGGGCGAGAAGUAUGCGGAAUGCGUGGUGUAGCGGUGAAAUGCAUAGAUAUCACGCAGAACUCCGAUUGCGAAGGCAGCAUACCGGCGCGCAACUGACGCUCAUGCACGAAAGCGUGGGUAUCGAACAGGAUUAGAUACCCCGGUA
rnacentral:rRNA from 1 species